AUUGAACGCUGGCGGCAGGCCUAACACAUGCAAGUCGAACGGUAACAGGAAGAAGCUUGCUUCUUUGCUGACGAGUGGCGGACGGGUGAGUAAUGUCUGGGAAACUGCCUGAUGGAGGGGGAUAACUACUGGAAACGGUAGCUAAUACCGCAUAACGUCGCAAGACCAAAGAGGGGGACCUUCGGGCCUCUUGCCAUCGGAUGUGCCCAGAUGGGAUUAGCUAGUAGGUGGGGUAACGGCUCACCUAGGCGACGAUCCCUAGCUGGUCUGAGAGGAUGACAAGCCACACUGGAACUGAGACACGGUCCAGACUCCUACGGGAGGCAGCAGUGGGGAAUAUUGCACAAUGGGCGCAAGCCUGAUGCAGCCAUGCCGCGUGUAUGAAGAAGGCCUUCGUGUUGUAAAGUACUUUCAGCGGGGAGGAAGGGAGUAAAGUUAAUACCUUUGCUCAUUGACGUUACCCGCAGAAGAAGCACCGGCUAACUCCGU
rnacentral:rRNA from 1 species